GAUCCUGGCUCAGAGUGAACGCUGGCGGCGUGCCUAAUACAUGCAAGUCGAACGAUGAAGCUUCUAGCUUGCUAGAAUGCUGAUUAGUGGCGCACGGGUGAGUAACGCAUAGGUUAUGUGCCUCUUAGUUUGGGAUAGCCAUUGGAAACGAUGAUUAAUACCAGAUACUCCCUACGGGGGAAAGAUUUAUCGCUAAGAGAUCAGCCUAUGUCCUAUCAGCUUGUUGG
rnacentral:rRNA from 1 species